UAGGGAAUCUUCCGCAAUGGACGAAAGCCUGACGGAGCAACGCCGCGUGAGUGAUGAAGGUCUUCGGAUCGUAAAACUCUGUUAUUAGGGAAGAACAAAUGUGCAAGUAACUAUGCACGUCUUGACGGUACCUAAUCAGAAAGCCACGGCUAACUACGUGCCAGCAGCCGCGGUAAUACGUAGGUGGCAAGCGUUAUCCGGAAUUAUUGGGCGUAAAGCGCGCGUAGGCGGUUUUUUAAGUCUGAUGUGAAAGCCCACGGCUCAACCGUGGAGGGUCAUUGGAAACUGGAAAACUUGAGUGCAGAAGAGGAAAGUGGAAUUCCAUGUGUAGCGGUGAAAUGCGCAGAGAUAUGGAGGAACACCAGUGGCGAAGGCGACUUUCUGGUCUGUAACUGACGCUGAUGUGCGAAAGCGUGGGGAUCAAACAGG
rnacentral:rRNA from 1 species